CAUGGGCUGUUGUGCUGGAGAGAACGAGAGCUACGAAGAGACUAGAAUGCCUCUGACUUUUUCAUAGGACAGUUGGCCGAGGAAGACACUUAAAGAUGAAGUGCUUAAUUCAAGGUCACAGAAUGUCGGGGAUGGACCUCCAGAUUUCCUUACUGGAAAACAAGCUCAGGGCUCCCACUGAUUGUACAUUAUGAGACAGAGUCUUCUUGCUAUGUUGCCCAGGCUGGUCUUGAACUCCUAACCUCAAGCGAUCCUCCCAUCUUGGCCUCCCAGGUGUCAGGAUUACAGGCAUGUGCUAUCACACCCAACCUGAUACAUUGCCUUUAUAAAUUUUUUUUUCUUUAUUCUAAAAAACAGAAAAAACAAAACUGGAUACAUGUGCAGAACAUGCAGCAGGGAAUUUCUUCCACUUGCAGACCAAGUGUGUUGGGGACUUGAGAUAUGUACAUGAGUGUUUGUGAUGUUUCCUGGUGAAAGCACAGGUGAGACGUGGUCUUGUAACACAGUGGUUA
rnacentral:antisense_RNA from 1 species